rnacentral:lncRNA from 1 species
AUGCGCUUUCAGCUCUCAUCAGCGGCACAGACGUGGUGCAAGGUUACAGAUCUCCCUGGGGCAACGUUUUCUGUUCGGGCAGAUGAAGGUUUGUCUCCGAGGUGUUUGAAAAAUGCAGCUGUGGGGUUUCAGUCCUCAGCCUCCUUCCAGCUGAGCCCCAGCCCCCCUCCCAAGCCACGGCGCGGCCGGUUUCUUGCGCACACCUGCAGCAGCAGCGGCUUCCUCACGCUGCCGGGGAAGGAGUGGCAGCAGCUAGACGCUGCCCUGACUGCUGGUGCUGAGUGUCCGGGACCGCCGGGAUCGCUGCAGUGGCCUCUGGAAUAGAGCGAGGAGAAGGGGCUGCAGCAGGCCUGAGACAUGCCUUGUGCCACCAGCCAGCCCACGUUUUUUGGAUAAAGCUGUAAAUGUCGGGACUGUGACUGCCGCCCCAAGUUCUCCCCUUCACACAGAGGUUUCUUGACUGCUCCUUGUGCUUCCUCUCACCUGUCAGCCCCCCCUCUUCACACACCUAAAAUCACGAUGGCAGCACCAGCCUUACAUUAGCCAGGAUCCCCUCCCAUCAGCUCCUUCCCUGUGCUGCAGCUCCCAGAUCUGAAAAUACCCCCCGGGAGGCCACAAGCUUAACAAAUACCUGCGAAGCGCGCAAGGCCUCCUCCUAAAGCCUGGGCAUGCUGAGCGUUACUGCCAAACAGGUGCCAAAUGUUUCAGCCCCCCCCCCCCCAAUUAUUUUUACAAGCUCUUGAGCUGUCUGUCACAGGAAGAUGUCACAAGGAGACUGAAGUUCUCUGAAAGAGAGGGAAAGGUGCCCAGAUCAAAGACGCUGACAAAUGCAGCCUGUGACAGCAAUUGCUGGAUUACAGUUUUUAAAACCUUAUGUUUCGCAUCUGGUUUAUCGUGGCUGUUGUAGGUGGGCUCAAUGCAUGGUAAAUCAGGAUAACAAACCUACAUUUACCAUGAUCCUUUCGUCUCCUAGUAUUCCAAAGCACAUCAUUUAAUUGCACUCAACCUGCACAUAGAUUUCAUAAAUAAAGGAAUGAUGAAUUAGCA